GACAGCUCUUCGGAUUCACCAAGCAAUUAUAUUGCUCGUACAUUGUAUUGUGUACCGCGGAAAUUGUGGGUGCUGGAAUCUAUGUAUGUUCUAGACUGGUUCAAGGGAGCCUAAAAGUUAUAGAGCCACUAUAUGACAAUAUCUUGAAAAAUAUAUAUGUUGACCCGAUCAUUUCUAUGGGAUCUAUAUGAUAUAGUUGUUCGAUCUGAAUGCAUGAUCUGCCAGCAGGCAAUUUUGUGUUUUAUGCAACAUCUCAACUCUGUAGCUUUUAUAGUUUCCGGGUUUAAUGCAUAGAAACAGACAGAAGACCAACAUGAUAAUAGAUUAUGUUACCUGUAUAGGAUGAGAGAUGAUUUCUUCAAUGAAAUGCAAACAUCUGGACAAAAUCAAAAUGCUCUGCAAGUACACAUAUGAAUAGAUGGGACUUUUAGAGAAGUUAUACACAGUCAUAUAGAGCUCGGAAAAAAUCGCAAUAAAUAUGCACACCUGUAUAAAGGGAAAUAUCGAAGUGAAGAAAGCCAUCAAAGUUAUAUCAGUAUGAACAUGAGGAACUCAGUUAAUGCUUACAAGAACGCCAACAAAACGUAAAUCACUUCACAAAAUAAAUGGAUACAACUAUGUAUAUACAACUUUUUCAUAAUAAGAUUUAUUGCGAUGCUUUAGAAAAAAAAGAAAAAAAGCGAGUGUCUUUAAGAGCUCCAACUUUAAAAAAAAGCAGGUAAAAAAACAUUAAAAAAUCAACGUUUGUUUCAAUAGUCCAGAUUUAA
rnacentral:sRNA from 1 species